UGGCGGCGUGCCUAAUACAUGCAAGUCGAGCGAAUGGAUUAAGAGCUUGCUCUUAUGAAGUUAGCGGCGGACGGGUGAGUAACACGUGGGUAACCUGCCCAUAAGACUGGGAUAACUCCGGGAAACCGGGGCUAAUACCGGAUAAUAUUUUGAACUGCAUGGUUCGAAAUUGAAAGGCGGCUUCGGCUGUCACUUAUGGAUGGACCCGCGUCGCAUUAGCUAGUUGGUGAGGUAACGGCUCACCAAGGCAACGAUGCGUAGCCGACCUGAGAGGGUGAUCGGCCACACUGGGACUGAGACACGGCCCAGACUCCUACGGGAGGCAGCAGUAGGGAAUCUUCCGCAAUGGACGAAAGUCUGACGGAGCAACGCCGCGUGAGUGAUGAAGGCUUUCGGGUCGUAAAACUCUGUUGUUAGGGAAGAACAAGUGCUAGUUGAAUAAGCUGGCACCUUGACGGUACCUAACCAGA
rnacentral:rRNA from 1 species